CGACAGACAAAUGGCAGUGAAAAGGAAGCAGUACAAGAGGAAAACUUCAGGAACCACAGUGUGGCCUCCACAGCCCGCCCCUCUCUCUCCUUAGGCCUGAAGACUCUAGGAGGAGACUCACACAGGAGAAGGGUCUGGAUCAUGUACACCGGAAUUGCACACAGGAAUUUGGGCCUGCUGAGCACCUGUUCAGCCACCAAGCCUCACACUUAGACCCCUCCUUUUGCAUUCUUCAUAGUACCAGUGCCAACAUGACCCUCUUCUUCAACAACUUGAAAUUGAAUGUGGC
rnacentral:lncRNA from 1 species